CUAAUUCUGCCUUCGCCACUUGUCUGCCAUAUGACCUGGGCUGCUGUUGCUACUGGGAAAUGAAGCCUAUCCUUUCAGCCACGGCUGCCUGGAACCCGGAUACCACACGAUGUCCCAGAAAGCAGUGGUGGACUAGGCCAACCGAAAAGCCUCCCCACCCCAGGAAACCAGUGAAAGACCAUGCAUCACAACCCUUGGGCAGAGUGAGAGACCCUGGGAUGGUACUGGCAACCAUAAACCCGAUGAGGAAACCGAGGCCCAGAGAAGUGAAAUGUCCAAGGACACACUACAAGCAAAUGGCAGAACCGUGCUAAGAACCAAAUCCUGAGCUCUUUCAAUGCCCUGGGUUUACAAGAAAUACAAGGUCCACCUGGAUUCUCCUAAAGUUUAGGUAACAGAGGAAUCAAAACGCCAGGCUGAACUCGAUAUUAUUGGCACACGGCCCAUGACACAAACACGAAAGAGGGAAGAAAUUGGAUGUGUUAAACACCUUGAUUCUUACCCGGCCCCACAAAACUUAGCAGAACACAGCAAUGACAUCCUAAUGACUAUUAAAUCUCGGCAGCUGAUUGACAUCCGGUGAAUUAAUGGAGAGUAUACAACCGCACAAUAGUAGUAUGGUGAGAAUCGGAAAACCCCUUUUACUGUUUCACUUUUUGAUCGUUGGCUGAAAUGAAACUGAGAGGCAAAAUCUUCCAAAAGAUCUGGCUCAUUAAUAGGUUGCAGUAAUGGAGCUUUCAGACAUUAAUUAUACACUGAUGUACUGACAGAGCAGAAGUACUUCAUUUUGUCUAUUUAAAUUCUGCUUAAAACAAAAGAUAUAUAUUUUUUCCAACCGUGUGUACAGAGGAAUCCACUGCAGUGUAAAAAGGGCAAUAGAGCUAAGCUUCUUCAAGAGUUUUUGAGUUCACUGGCUCGUAAGCUCCUCGAGGGCAGGAAUCUGGUCUGCCAACUCGGUUUCGAUGCACUCUCCCAAGCAGCCUAGUGCACCACAACCAGGAAAGAAACGGUUCAUCAGGGGCAGAAAGUCAGUCUCGUAAGCCUAGCAAAACCAGGGCCCGAUACUGCAAAUCAACAGAUAUGACAGUCAACAAACGUCAGUCUUUGUGUGCGCACAAGUGUGGUCAGGACCAAAGGGCCCCUCAUCCAUCACCAUUAAUGGUGUGCACACACACACACACACACAGACACACACACGAGGAUUACUCAACGACUUUCCUGUUAGAAAACGUCUGCAGUUAUUGCUCACGUGUAAGGCUACCAAAAUAAGGAAAUGAGGACCUGAAAAAAAAAAUGUAGGAGUGGGGACAGGUAAAGAAACAAUUUUUAAAGAGAGCAAGCUGUCACCCUUGCCUGAGAAGAAGUGUGAGAAGCCAACUGCCCCUACUCUGCAGAAAAGAAAAGAAAAUCUCAUGGUGGAACUCUUUAAAAAGGUAUUUGUUCCCUGGAUGAACAAAGACUAGAAACACAGAGGCCGGGGCACAGAGUCGGGGGUCCAAAGACAGACAAAGGCUUGGAGACACAGACACGGCGAGAUAGGGACACGGUAGCAGACAGACGGUGAGAGACAGAAUGUGAUGGAGCCCUGCUGUCCAAGUGUAGCCUGUGGAGCUGGGAGGGAGGCAGAGAAACUGAGUGACAAGUUAUGCUGCAGAAGGUGACUACAUUUGAUAUUCAUCCAUGCUAAUAAUUAACUGCCCCAACAGAAUUGUUCCCCUAGUUUACAAGCAUUUCUGGGAUGCUUAUUUACACAUUUGCUCUCAACACACACACACACACACACACACACACACACACACACACACACACACACACAGAGUUUCAAAACAUCAGAAAGUCAUUGGGAAGAACUGUAGCCCAGUGGAAAGAGCAUAGGAGUUAGGAGACGCAACCUGUAAUUCCGGCGUUUUUACUGGUCUGCUGGAGGGCCUAGAGAAAGUCACUUAACAUCUCUAUUUCUUCUUUUGUAAAAUGGGAUUGUGAUGUUCUCUGAAGAUUGUGAACUUGUGCAGGACAGGGUCUGUGUCUGAUCUAUUGAUUUCGGAUCUUCCCUGGUGCCAGGUACAUAAACGCUUAAUGAACAGCACAACUAACUACCCAAGGAAUGCAUCGCCAAAUUCCCUCCCCACCCAUCUGACUGGUAGAACAGAUGAGGACCUCUGGAUCUCAAGAAUUGAAAUUUUUUUGCAUAUAACUAAAAGUGAAAUUAACAAAAAAAUUCUGGUAAGAUCUAA